rnacentral:rRNA from 1 species
UACGUAGGGUGCGAGCGUUGUCCGGAAUUAUUGGGCGUAAAGAGCUCGUAGGCGGUCUGUCGCGUCUGCUGUGAAAUCCCGAGGCUCAACCUCGGGCUUGCAGUGGGUACGGGCAGACUAGAGUGCGGUAGGGGAGAUUGGAAUUCCUGGUGUAGCGGUGGAAUGCGCAGAUAUCAGGAGGAACACCAAUGGCGAAGGCAGAUCUCUGGGCCGUAACUGACGCUGAGACGCGAAAGCGUGGGGAGCGAACAGG